AUUUGCUGCCACUGGGGACAUGAGAUUGCUUCCAUGGAAACAGAACCAUGGAUUGUUUUUCCAGAAAACGUCUCAAUCUAAUUUGUGUGGAGCUGCACUGUGUGUGUGCGCGCGCACGUGUGUGUGGAGUGUUUUAGUCACAGAACAGGGGUGAGAAGAGGAAGGGAGCAUUUACAUGGAACCCCCAAUUUUCCUUGAAUCCCAGGGAGUUAAUUAUUUCAGGGUACAGGAUACUGUGGCCACCUGCUGAGGCUUAUUGAGCUGGCUUUCUGGGUCCCUGGAGUGGGCACAUGGCAUGAGAGUCCACAUGUGAAGAAGAGAAACCAGAGACCUGAGUGACUCCAUCUGAGCUGGAGAGAGCACAGAUGAAGUCUUCCCUCAGCCUCUCUACCAUUAAAAAGACAUCAUUAAGUAGAAUGGACUGCAGAAAACAGACUCAAAUUCCUGGCCUUUGUCAUGCAAAAUAGAACUUUUCAUUGUAAGAGAGUUUUAAAUGCCACACUUUCAAAAAAGAACACAGGCCAAGUUUCAACAAACAUGAAAAAAGUCUUUACCAUGAAAAAGAGAUCAAUGAACAAAGACAAAAAAAAAGGAACUCAGAGGGAAGUAAGACAAUAUAGGAACCAGAAGAAAACUUCAAAACAAAAUAAAAACAAUAUCCUUAACAAAAGAAGAUUAUAAGUUGCAUCUACAAAAUGGAA
rnacentral:lncRNA from 1 species